GUGUAAAUUUCCAACAUUUUAUUCUUGUAGCUAUUAGAACCAGUUACGUGGCCAUCAAACUGAUCAGAUCUUGGUGGAAAGAUGGGUGUUCUCACGGGUGAACAGGGGAGAAAACGAAUGCAUGGAUUCCUGUUUCGGCUCAUACUUCAGAUUCUGACCGUGUGGAAGAAAGGACUGACUAACAGAAGGUCAAGUAGAGCUCUUACCUGGAACUCGCUGUUCCAUGAAGUACAGUGA
rnacentral:lncRNA from 1 species